UUAGCUUACCCUUGGUGCCGAAGUAAACACAAUAAGCACUCCGCCUUGGGAGUACGCUCGCAAGAGGGAAACUCAAAGGAAUUGACGGGGACCCGCACAAGCAGUGGAGUAUGUGGUUUAAUUCGAAGCAACGCGAAGAACCUUACCAGGUCUUGACAUCUGGGUGAAAGCACUAGAGAUAGUGCCCCUCUUCGGAGCACCCAGGGGAGACAGGUGGUGCAUGGUUGUCGUCAGCUCGUGUCGUGAGAUGUUGGGUUACUGACCGCAACGAGCGCAACCCUUGAACUUAGUUGCCAGCAUUGAGUUGGGCACUCUAAGUUGACUGCCGGUGACAAACCGGAGGAAGGUGGGCAUGACGUCAAAUCAUCAUGCCCCUUAUGACCUGGGCUACACACGUACUACAAUGGCCGGUACAACGGGAAGCGAAGUCGCGAGAUGGAGCCAAUCCUAAGAAAGCCGGUCUCAGUUCGGAUUGCAGGCUGCAACUCGCCUGCAUGAAGUCGGAAUUGCUAGUAAUCGCGGAUCAGCAUGCCGCGGUGAAUACGUUCCCGGGUCUUGUACACACCGCCCGUCACACCACGAGAGUUUACAACACCCGACUGAGGUGGGGUAACCGCAAGGGGCCAGCCGCCGAAGGUGGCGUAGA
rnacentral:rRNA from 1 species